rnacentral:tRNA from 1 species
GGCGGCGUAGCUCAGGUGGUUAGAGCGCACGGCUCAUACCCGUGUUGUCGUUGGUUCGACUCCAACCGCCGCUACCA